ACUGAUAGUCCAGGCAGGGAGGGACGAGGGGAAUUCCACACAGUUGUCGCUCCCACGACAUCAGUGACCGGAGUCCGGAUCCACGGCCCGUGGACGAUGGGGUCUCGCAAACUGAAGGUGUUUUACAGGGAAAAAGCUACAGCUGUUGCUGGGUCCCAGCUCGUCCAGUUGCCGUGUGGUCACUAUGCGGAUGUCCCCUGUCUGAGGGAUUUAAUCCAGCGCUCUCUGGAGAAGGGUCUCCACUCAGUCCCGUGUUCACUGUGUGACGGGGGUCGCUUGCCGUGGCAGAUCCUGAGGGUCGUGCUGCUGGAUUCCCCCCC